rnacentral:lncRNA from 10 species
CAGGGAUAAUGACAGGCGAGUUCAGGAGGGGCAGGGAUGAUGGGAGGCUGGUACAGGAAGGGCAGGGAUGAUGGAGGCAAGUUCAGGAGGAGGGGCAGGGAUAAUGACAGUUGAGUUCAGGAGAGGGGGCAGGGAUAAUGACAGGCAAGUUCAGGAGGGGCAGGGAUAAUGACAGGCGAGUUCAGGAGGAGGGGCAGGGAUAAUGACAGGCUAGUUCAGGAGGAGGGGCAGGGAUAAUGACAGGCAAGUUCAGGAGGAGGGGCAGGGAUAAUGACAGGCGAGUUCAGGAGGGGCAGGGAUGAUGGAGGCCAGUUCAGGAGAGGCAGGGAUGAUGGGAGGCAAGCUCAGGAAGAGCAGGGAUGAUGGAGGCGAGUUCAGGAGAGGCAGGGAUGAUGGAGGCGAGUUCAUGACAAGCAGGGAUGACAAGAGGCAAGUUCAGGAGAAGCAGGGAUGAUGGGAGGCUAGUUCAGGAGAGGCAGGGAUGAUGGAGGCGAGUUCAGGAGAAGGGGCAGGGAUGACAAGAGGAGAGUUCAGGGGAGGAAGGGAUUAUGGAGGCAAGCUCAGGAGAAGCAGGGAUGAUGGGAGGCAAUUUCAGGAGGGGCAGAGAUGAUGGAGGCAAGUUCAGGAGGAGGGGCAGGAAUGAUGGAGGUGAGUUCAGGAAAGGCAGGGAUGGUAGGAGGCGAGUUCAGGAGGGGCUGGGAUGGAAGGGCCACGCAGCCAUGGUAAGGCCUUUGGUUUUAUGAAAUGGGUAAGACCUUAGGAGAAUUUCAGGCCGAGGAAUGACAUGAUCUGACAGGUUUUAGAAAUACUGUUCCAGCUGCUAUGGGGAGAGCAGACUGGCAAGUCAGGCAAGUGGAAAUGGUAAGAAUUGAUGGGAUUCUGGAUAUAUUUUGAAGACCAAAUUGACAGAAUUUCCUCAUUCUUUGGAUGUUGGAUAUAGAGGAAAAAAGACAAGUCAAGGAUGACUCCAAAGGGAGAUCUAUUGACAAGGAUCCAAAGGAAACACAUAAAGAAUAUUUUAAGGUAAAGGAAAAUUUUCUGUAAAAUAUUUGAAUGUAUAAUGAAUUAUAUAUC